rnacentral:rRNA from 1 species
CAAGUCGAACGAGACCUUCGGGUCUAGUGGCGCACGGGUGCGUAACGCGUAGGCAAUCUACCCGAUACAGGGGAAUAACACGGGGAAACUCGUGCUAAUACUGCGUAAUAAAUGAGAAGGCAUCUUCUUAUUUUAAAAGCUUCGGCGGUAUCGGAAGAGCCUGCGUCCUAUUAGCUAGUUGGUAAGGUAACAGCUUACCAAGGCGACGAUAGGUAGGGGAACUGAGAGGUUGAUCCCCCACACUGGUACUGAGAUACGGACCAGACUCCUACGGGAGGCAGCAGUGAGGAAUAUUGGUCAAUGGACGGAAGUCUGAACCAGCCAUGCCGCGUGUCGGAAGACGGCCCUCUGGGUUGUAAACGGCUUUUCUUUGGGAAGAACACGCUCUUGCGAGAGCAACUGACGGUACCAAAGGAAUAAGCACCGGCUAACUACGUGCCAGCAGCCGCGGUAAUACGUAGGGUGCAAGCGUUGUCCGGAUUUAUUGGGUUUAAAGGGUGCGUAGGCGGCUAUUUAAGUCGUGGGUGAAAGCCCGUCGCUUAACGACGGAAUUGCCUGCGAUACUGGAUAGCUUGAGUAUCGUUAAGGUUGGCGGAAUGGGAGGUGUAGCGGUGAAAUGCAUAGAUACCUUCCAGAACACCGAUUGCGUAGGCAGCUGACUAGGCGAUAACUGACGCUGAGGCACGAAAGCGUGNGGAGCGAACAGGAUUAGAUACCCUGGUAGUCCACGCCGUAAACGAUGAUGACUCGUUGUUGG